AUUUAAGUAUUUAAAUUUCCUCUGUACAAACUGGUUAGAGGGAAGGAAAUAUGCCUGAUGUGCCUCUGGUAGAAUCAAAACUAAUAAUAUUUAUAUUUGAUAGAUAGUUUAAUAUCUAUACAUAUAAAAAUACAGGAAUUUAACAAUGUGGUCUGGUUAGACUGUUUCUGCAACCAAAAUUCCAUGCAGGUCUGACGUAAAACAGAAAAUGAAAAUGCCGAAAAUGUUUAGAUCUGUGAUUCUGGAGGAAUGAGUCUUUUCCAAACCUGAUCAGAACAUUUUUUUACAGUAAUCAUUUAAAGGUAGUUUGAAGGGUAAAGUGGGCACCAAUUUCUAUUGGUCCAGCAGAGAGUAAAACCAUACAUAAGACAACAUUUAAUAAAUAUCUCAGUGUCAUAAAUGCAGAGUUUACAGUGGUGUAAAUAUGCAAGUCAGCUAUGAAUAGCUAAGGUAAUUAAUAUAGUAAAGAAACCAAUGAAACUGUAUUGGGGGACAUAAAGUCCAGGACUGUUGUAAUACUCUUAUCCAGUCAUGUACUUCAAAUCUGCCAUUGCAGUUGGAUUGAAUAGUUGUUUUUUUAAUAAAGUGCCUUAAGAGAGUUUUUUGUUUUGAGUUGCCACCAUAUAAAGAUACUUAACUGAAUCAAAUGUGUCAUCAUGAUUAUGACACAAGAACAUAUUUGGAAUUGUUCAGUAAAAAUCUUUUGGUAACCAGAAGAUAUUACUUUCAGCUAUAGCUCGUAUCUAAGUACUAUAGCUGUAUUACAUAUCUAUCUACUUGAACACUGUAUGGUAAAUGUAACAUUUUGUAUUGUAUUCUAAUACAACAUUUACUUUGUUAAUA